rnacentral:lncRNA from 1 species
CCGUCGUCCAUUCAUGGAUGGAAGAACCAGUUCUUUUUUGUAUCUUCUUCUAUCCCCUGGGGGUUCCCUGCCCGUUGGGAGAAUCUCCGAACCCAACCGAGCGAGAACAGUCGGGUGAAAGCGGAGGACCGGGAAGACUUCCACCGGCUGAAAGACAUUUCGUGCCGAAGCAGAGAGAGCUCGUCACCGAGCAGGCGCUGUAUGACGUUGGUCUCAGCCCGGUCCCUUGCUUAGGUCGGUUUUCCGUCUUCUUUCUCCUUCCUUCUUUUCUUUCCUUUGUGAUGCUGACUGUCUGUCACCGUUUGC